ensembl:snoRNA Gm22936 small nucleolar RNA SNORA17
CCUGUCCCUAGAAGUAUUACAGGUGUGGCUGUGUCACAUGUGCAUAAGUAGGUGGCAGAGAGGAGAGAGGCUAUGUCUAUGCUCAUUGUUCUGAUCUAAGAACAUCUGAGUGAUUUUCCAGGCAGG